UAGGGAAUCUUCCGCAAUGGACGCAAGUCUGACGGAGCAACGCCGCGUGAGUGAAGAAGGAUUUCGGUUCGUAAAACUCUGUUGUUAGAGAAGAACAGCGCAUAGAGUAACUGUUAUGCGUGUGACGGUAUCUAACCAGAAAGCCACGGCUAACUACGUGCCAGCAGCCGCGGUAAUACGUAGGUGGCAAGCGUUGUCCGGAUUUAUUGGGCGUAAAGCGAGCGCAGGCGGUCAAUUAAGUCUGAUGUGAAAGCCCCCGGCUCAACCGGGGAGGGUCAUUGGAAACUGGUUGACUUGAGUGCAGAAGAGGAGAGUGGAAUUCCAUGUGUAGCGGUGAAAUGCGUAGGUAUAUGGAGGAACACCAGUGGCGAAGGCGACUCUCUGGUCUGUAACUGACGCUGAGGCUCGAAAGCGUGGGUAGCAAACAGG
rnacentral:rRNA from 1 species